rnacentral:rRNA from 1 species
UACGGAGGAUGCAAGCGUUAUCCGGAAUGAUUGGGCGUAAAGCGUCCGCAGGUGGCUAUGUAAGUCUGCUGUUAAAGAGUGAGGCUCAACCUCGUAAGAGCAGUGGAAACUACAUGGCUAGAGUGCGUUCGGGGCAGAGGGAAUUCCUGGUGUAGCGGUGAAAUGCGUAGAUAUCAGGAAGAACACCGGUGGCGAAAGCGCUCUGCUAGGCCGCAACUGACACUGAGGGACGAAAGCUAGGGGAGCGAAUGGG